rnacentral:rRNA from 1 species
CUUGCCUUUUGCCAGCGUACGGGUGGAUCCCAGUUCUGGAAGUCCAUGAUUCAGCUUAUGCCCGUACUCCGCAUCGGCACAUCCAUCUUGGUUGGCUCCGGGGCCUCGACCCUGUUCUGGUUCGACCGUCAGCUAGGGGACUCCCCCUGGGCGCGAUUACCAGAACUCUUUGCCAUUGCCGUCGACCCUCGGGUCUCAUUCGAGAUGGCCCUUAUUGACUUAGGGUGUCUCGCCUUCCGGUGCCCAUUUGGCCCCCUCGAGGUGGCUGCUUGGGACUCCCUCCUCCAAGACAUCGCCCUUAUGCCGAUGAACGUUGAGGAGGACCGGGAUGCUCUUUCCUGGCGCCUUGAGCCCUCUGGCCGUUUCUCCACGAAGUCCCUGUACGCCACCAUUGCGCCCCCGGCGGCCCCGGAACCCUUUAGCCUGAUCUGGGACAUCCGCCUACCUCUGAAGAUCAGGAUUUUCCUGUGGCAAUGGAUCCAUGGACGCCUCCCUUCUAGGGUUGAAGUCCUCCAACAUAACGGCCCGGGCGAUGGGAUAUGCCCCAUCUGUGGCACGGUCGAGGAUGCUAACCACAUCUUUUUCUCGUGCUACACUGCCCAAUUCCUCUGGGCUUGCUUCCGUGAAACGGUUGGCGGACAGUGGUGCAAUACCAACUUCCCCGACUUGCUUGCUGAGCUCAACGCUUCCCCUAUACGCUACGGCCAUAUUAGAUGGUUAUGCAUUGGGAUUCUCGCCUGGACGCUUUGGAAUAUUCGCAAUAAGCUUGUUAUUCAGAAGGUGCCCCUCCGAUGUGCGACUGACGCAAUCUUCAAAAUGUGUGGUUAA